rnacentral:lncRNA from 1 species
CCGGGAUCGAACCAGGGUCUGUAGUGACACCUCUAGCACUGAGAUGCAGUGCCUGAGCCCUCUGUGCCACUCGCGAGUUAGAGGUGUAAACUUCCAUUUCUCAAUCUAAGCUGCAUUUACAGUGUAGAUGAUGGUACAUUAGGUCACUAUUUAUUCGUAAGUGACUACAAUGACGUUUUUCUCCAUUUCAGUCUCUCUCUCUCUCUCUCCCCUCUCUCUCUGUCUCUCUCUCUCUCUCUCUCCCCUCUCUCUCUCUCUCUCUCUCCCCUCUCUCUCUCCCCCCACUCUCUCUCUCUCUCUCUCUCUCUCUCGCUCUCUCUCUCUCGCUCUCUCUCUCUCUCUCUCCCCCCUCCCCCCUCUCUCCCUCUCUCCCCCUCCCCCUCUCUCUGUCUCUCGCUCUCUCUGCUGUUUUCAUAAUAAACAACCAAGUGUUUUUUUUAAGCCGUCUUUGAGUCUUCUUGACGGUAUGUGAUUCGCUCCAAGCUAAGAUAUUAACUAUUUUGGCAACAUAAAAAAAAAACUUUGAAACAAAAUUAAUGGGAGCGUCCUUAGACGUUCAUCUCAUUGCAUUAGACCUAUUCAUGUUGGAUCUUUUCGAUACUACCAGUAUAUUAAUUGAUUACAGCAUAUCGUCAUGGAACCAGGAUAUCAAGUUUUAUGUGUAAUUAAACAGUAAUCCCAUCAGGUUUUAUGUGUAAUGUAACAGUAAUCUCAUCAGGUUUUAUGUGUAAUUAAACAGUAAUCCCAUCAGGUUUUAUGUGUAAUUAAAUAGUAAUCUCAUCAGGUUCUAUGUGUAAUUAAAUAGUAAUCUCAUCAGGUUUUGUGUAAUGUAACAGUAAUCCCAUCAGGUUGUAUGUGUAAUUAAACAGUAAUCUCAUCAGGUUGUAUGUGUAACUAAACAGUAAUCCCAUCAGGUUUUAUGUGUAAUUAAACAGUAAUCCCAUCAGGUUUCAUGUGUAAUUAAACAGUAAUCCCAUCAGGUUUCAUGUGUAAUUAAAUAGUAAUCCCAUCAGGUUUUAUGUGUAAUUAAAUAGUAAUCUCAUCAGGUUUUGUGUAAUGUAACAGUAAUCUCAUCAGGUUUUAUGUGUAAUUAAACAGUAAUCUCAUCAAGUUGUAUGUUUAAUUAAACAGUAAUCCCAUCAGGUUUUAUGUGUAAUUAAACAGUAAUUCCAUUGUAUCUCCUCGUCGUACAAGAUUUAUACAUAUGUCAAACAAAAGAUUUUACAAAGAAUCUUGAAAAUACUAAAGGCAAGUGAUUUAGCAUGGGCUGAAGGAGGCUUUGUAGCCGUCUGGGUUUAGAAAGGUAGAAAGAUGUGCUUGAUUUAGAAACUGCCGUUUUAAAAAGUGCCAGUGAUGCUUACCUGUGCAUUCAGGUGUUCUAGAAUGUCUUCAUUCAGGUGUUCUAGAAUGUCUGCAUUCAGGUGUGUGUCAUUCAGGUGUUCUGGUGUGUGUCAUUCAGGUGUUCUAGAAUGUCUGCAUUCAGGUGUGUGUCAUUCAGGUGUUGUAGAAUGUCUGCAUUCAGGUGUUCUAGAAUGUCUGCAUUCAGGUGUGUGUCAUUCAGGUGUUCUAGAAUGUCUGCAUUCAGGUGUUCUAGAAUGUCUGCAUGGGCGAGGUGCAGAGCAGCAAGAUUAAUGACCUGAGAGGCGUUCUAAUCAGCGUUCCAUUCUGGGAAGGUAAGCCAACGCCCGGGGGGGUGUAGAAUAUGGGCUGAACUCCAGUUAUAUUGACUAAAAUAACAUCGUAACUGAUCAACUGGCAGCUUGUCUCUCCUAUUCAUGACAAUAGGCAGAGAUUAACCUUAGGCUUUCUGCCCGGCACACAGCAGACUGAAAACUAUAUCUUUGCAGUGUGGAUAAAGUAAUGGAGAUUAAGGCCGGUAUAUCCAAUCAGAUCGCGCUAAAUCAGCUAUGCACCUUUUAUAGGCAAUGUUCCCGUGUUUUCGGCUCAAUGGGAAAUUACCUUUAAAUGGUGCAUAGCCGACAGAGGCCAACCGGAUUGAAUCCUGGCCUAACUGUACAAAGUGUUGUUCAAUGUAGUGCAUCUGUGAAUCUGAUUUUACUGAGUAUUAGUGACCCCGUUGUCAAAUGACCUUUCUCCGUUGUAGAGCUCGUUGUGAAUUCAUCUGAAACACCCAUUCAGUACGGUACAUGUUGUGGGUAAGAUCCCAAGUACUGUCUACAUUUUCUGUUCUGUAAAUGAGAAACCACAUAUCUGAGAAGAGGAACAGCGAAGUGUGAAGGAUCCUUCUCCCUACGUAGAGGCCAGCGUCAUCAUAUCGGCUGGCUGUUAGUCCUCUGCUGUCAUUGUCCCUAGUCAGCCCCAACGACUUUCCUUGUUGUUGGACGGUCAGGUCCAAUAGGGAAUAGGAUGCCAUUUGAGACGUACUCCAUGUCAGUCCCAAGUAGUUGGAUGGUUGGACUGAUCUGAAACGACAUUCCUUAUUGCCUUGAAAUGGAAUGCGAUUGGCUGUGUAAGUGAUGGGGCUUAAAGAAGCUCUCCAGAAUGCCCGUGACCCCGACUGACCCCCGGUCUGCGUCCCAAAUACAAUGUUAUUUGUCACAUGCUUUGUAAACAACAGGUUUAGACUAACAGUGAAAUGAGUACAUACGGGCUUACUUACUAACAAAUAAAUGCUUACUCACCCUAUGGGCCCUGGUCAAAAGUAGUACACUAUAUUACGGACUAGGAUACCAUUUGGGACUCUACCCCACAAUGAGCUGGGCUGCCUGGGAUCAGUGGGAUGCUUGGGCCGUCAAGAGUAACUUUAGACACAUUCUAGGGGACACUAGAUCCUGAUGUGGCAUGCAGCCUGCUCUGACCUUCUUCCCAGGAACACUUAGUCAGAGUUCCUAGCUUCUAGAUCAGGGAGGGGCCGCAUCAAUUUCCACAAAACAAAAAACAAAACAAACAUUUGGUGGUGGGGGGGGGGGAAUUCAGUCGGGGUCUCAAUUUACUGUUGAGAUUAGAAUGGUAGAAUACACAAGGUGACAUUUUGAAAUGUUGUUGUUGCAUCAGCAGUUUCUCUCUUGUUAUGUCAGUCACUGACAGUCACUCAAUGUCCCAUGUCAGCUAACAUUUUAUAGGUUGUUGUCAGAGUCUAGGUGAUGUGGGUAAAGGCGGAGUCAGGCGCAGGACACAGAGAUGAGUAAUAAUAGUGACUUUACUCAAAAAAUAAUCCUCCAACAAGGAGAACGAAAAAUCCAGAAUCACAUAAACGAGACAACUGACAACAAUAAACACGCACAAAACCGUGAUGGCUCCAGAGGGUUAAAUAGGGAAAUAAUUCAAACGAAAUGGGAACCAGGUGUGUACAAUACAGACAAAACAAAUGGAAAAAGAAAUGUAGAUCGGUGGAGGCUAGAAAACCAGUGACGUCGACCACCGAACGCCGCCCGAACAAGAAGAGGCACCAACUUCGCCGGAAGUCGUGACAAUUGUUAAGUUAGUUUAGCCAUCAGCUAUUUAAACUUGUAGUAAUCAUGAUUGAAUUACUGACCGGGGGUCGUCCAUUGAUUUUGUUAGUCACUCGCACUCAAACAUCAUAUAAACAACUGAAAACAGUAUUCUCCACCCCAUGGCAAAAUGAGUGGAAUUAUAGGAAAUUAGCUGUAAAACUGCACAUUUUCCUCUCCACCCCAUGGCAAAAUGAGUGGAAUUGCAGGAUAUGAGCUGUAAAACUACAUUUUCCUCUCCACCACAUGGCAAAAUGGGUAGAAUUGCAUUAAAAAAAUGUUUUAAUAAAAUUGCAACAUUUGCUCUACGCCCCAUUGUCACAGGUCAUGGAAUCUCCAGCCUCCAUCUCCAUGUCUGGCCUGUUUGUUCCGUAAACAUGCUGCACCUGUCCAUAGAAUGCUGGUUGCCAACCAACAAUGGAAUGCUGGUUGCUAACCAACCAGACUAUAUGCUAUGACCCUUUCCAUGCGCAUGUGUGUUUGUGAGUGCAAGUUCGUUUGAGUGUGUGUGUGUGUGUGUGUGUGUGUAUACAUUCAUAACAACGUGUACGUAAGGAUGUGUUUGGGCCAGAAGACAGACAGAUAUCUGUCUAGCUUGCUCUCAGGCCAGGGUGAUAGAGGUUUUUCCUCUCCAGGCAGCUGUCACUGUUGCGUCUGAAGCAGCACACAGAUCUGAACUCUGAGGGAAACACUGGUCUGCAUCUCAGUUAGCACCCUAAUCCCGAUAGACUGUACUGUAUAUAGUGUCCUACUUUUGGUCAAAAUUGCGCGAUGAAAUGAUGAAUACUGUCGAGCAACAGGUCAGUUCCAAGUGGGACGUCUACUUUCUUUUUUCCGAUAGACGUAACGCCGUUCUCCAUGCACAGUCGUUUAUAAGAGCUAUUGAUUAGAGCUAUUGAUUAGAGCUAUUGAUUAGAGCUAUUGAUUAGAGCUAUUGAUAACAGCUAUUGAUAACAGCUAUUGAUAAGAGCUAUUGAUUAGAGCUAUUGAUAAAAGAUAUUGAUUAGAGCUAUUGAUAACGGAGAUUAAUAAGAUAUAUUGAUAACGGAUAUUAAUAAGAUAUAUUGAUUAGAGCUAUUGAUUAGAACUAUUGAUUAGAGCUAUUUAUAAGAGCUAUUGAUUAGAGCUAUUGAUAACAGCUAUUGAUUAGAGCUAUUGAUAAGAGCUAUUGAAAAUAUAUAUUGAUUAGAGCUAUUGAUAAGAGCUAUUGAUUAGAGAUAUUGAUUAGAGCUAGGUAAAUGAGUGAACUGUUUGUGUUGGGGAUUGUAAAUAUAAAUGACAUUUGUUUUAGAUCUAUUGUACCUUCUGAUCACUGGAGACAAAUGUGAAACCAGUCACACGGCAGCAAACUGAAGCAUCAACAUAUCACCUCUUCCACAGUGAAGUUCAUGAAACGCUGGCCUUAUAACUUGGGAUGAAAUUAGGAGAGCCAAGCUAUAGACUUCUGUAGCCAUGUACAAAUGACAGUAUAGUACCAAACCUACCGAGGUGAUUAUAUGAUUUCUAGAAUGUUUAAAUUAUAUGCCCAGACUUUUCACUGUAAUUUGUACGGUCAGUUAUCCUCACAUACAUUUAUAACGGUCUCUGACUUUAGUGUUAGUUUCCUUACAUGUUGCAUCAUUCAAUAACAUCAUAAGUUUCCCUCAACUUGCACUGCUCAUGUUAUUGAAUGUACGUUUGUUUAUGUGUAACUCUGUGUUGUUGUUUUUUGUCGCACUGCUAUGCUUUAUCUUGG